GGGCAUUUCCACGGUAAUAGGGUACUUCUGUGUGUGAAAGAAUAAAGCGCUUACAGAAAAAUUAAAUAAAUAUCCUGUGGCUUUCUGUGUUUUUAUUUUCAUUGUUGAUGGUAUAAAGAAAUAAAAAAGACAAUUCCAUGCACUAAUAAUGUCAUUUGGUUGUGUUGUCCUCUUUUCUUUAAUGAUUAUUAUUAAAAAUUCCAAAGUACAAUCAGUAAAUGUUGAGUGGUGUGAUUUUGAGGGUGAUGCAAAUAAAAAUUCUAAAAAGAAAUUGAUGUUUCAUGUUUUGAAAAGAGAUUUUGAUGCGGGUGGAUUACGGCAUUGAUCAUAGUUACGGCGAUUGAGCUUUAAAGAGGGAGAGUGAGAGAGUUGAAAAUUACAUUGGCUGAAUGAGAGAUUCUGUCCACCUGUGUUACGUACGUUCAGAGUGAAUUUUCCCACAAUUAUUAGUUGUGUCACCCAACAGUUUUAUGUGCUUUGCAACUCUUUUGAUGAAGGUUGAAAUGUAGACCAAGAAAAAAAUCGUCAAAAUAAACGCAAAUAGAGAUAAAAUCUAUUCAAAAUUUGGAGUGCAAUAUUCGGUCCAACUCACGAACGUACGUAACAACUAAAAAACCGGACCGUGGCGUCCGCGAAUAUGACGCAUGGAUAAUCCACGUAUCAGUCAAGUGAACCAAGGCACUGCAACGUUUGAUUGUACUUGCAAUCCAUGCGCUGACUUCUACAAUCGCGGGGCCGUGUACAGCUCUAUAACUUCUGUCCAGUUUGUGCGUACGUUCACGGUUGCUGGUAGUUAGAACGACACGUACGCACGUAUGACAGAACAUGUUUUCUGUCCUAUUUACGUACGUGUCGGACGUGAGCAGCAGACGACAUCCGAUCGUAAUUAGAUUAGGCUUUGAAAAUCGUGGAAUGGUGAAAGAUGUUGUGGGAGAAGAUCUUGUCAUCAAGUACAUGGCCGAGUCGGAGUCUCAUCCGGGGCUAUUUAUAUGGCCAGCACGUGAGGAUGUGUCUCGGGAAUGUAGAAAACAGAUAGUGAAGAAAAUGCCUAACCCUGUCCUUCGGGAAGACAUCAGCAGCACUAGAUUACAAUUUUUCACCUUUGCAGAACUCUCCCCAGAAUCAUGACUUGUUCCAUACAAUUUAUGAAUGUCUUAUUACUCAUAGAUUGGUUAAUAAUGAAUCGAGUCAUUCCAACUUCUUCAGAGAACUUGUGUAAAGUCCAGCACACCCGAUAUCGUCCCAAACCAUCGGUUUUAAAAUCCUUACAAUAUUCUCUGACUCUCGUGUAAGAGGAAAACCUAGAACUGCGUGUAUUGAUGUUAAAAAGGAGACAUGAUUAAAUGGCUGGAUCGUGCUAAUUUAUUGUUCUCACGUUGUACUUCAGUAAGGUUUUAAUCACCUCAAUAGACUUGUGUGUUAUGAAAACAAAUAAAAUUCAUGGAAAAUUGGCACAAAGACACAAUUAUUUACUGAAAAUAUUUAAUGAAUGCUCAAUUGAAUUGAUGCAUUAUAAUAUGCAAAAUAACCCAUUGAGUAUGCAGUGUCAAAUCUUUUUUGAAUUUCAGAUCUGAAUUACAUCAAAA
rnacentral:lncRNA from 1 species